rnacentral:rRNA from 1 species
CCUACGGGGGGCUGCAGUGAGGAAUAUUGGUCAAUGGACGAGAGUCUGAACCAGCCAAGUCGCGUGAAGGAUGACUGCCCUAUGGGUUGUAAACUUCUUUUAUAUGGGAAUAAAAUGUUCCACGUGUGGGAUUUUGUAUGUACCCUAUGAAUAAGGAUCGGCUAACUCCGUGCCAGCAGCCGCGGUAAUACGGAGGAUCCGAGCGUUAUCCGGAUUUAUUGGGUUUAAAGGGUGCGUAGGUGGAUUGUUAAGUCAGUUGUGAAAGUUGGCGGCUCAACCUUAAAAUUGCAGUUGAAACUGGGAGUCUGGAGUGCGGGAGAGGUAGGCGGAAUUCGUGGUGUAGCGGUGAAAUGCUUAGAUAUCACGAAGAACUCCGAUUGCGAAGGCAGCUCACUGGACUGCAACUGACGCUGAGGCUCGAAAGUGUGGGUAUCAAACAGGAUUAGAUACCCCUGUAGUC